rnacentral:rRNA from 1 species
UACGUAGGGGGCAAGCGUUGUCCGGAUUCAUUGGGCGUAAAGAGCGUGUAGGCGGCCAGGUAGGUCGGUUGUGAAAACUGGAGGCUCAACCUUCAGAGGUCGACCGAAACCAUCUGGCUAGAGUCCGGGAGAGGAGAGUGGAAUUCCUGGUGUAGCGGUGAAAUGCGCAGAUAUCAGGAAGAACACCAAUGGCGAAAGCAGCUCUCUGGGACGGUACUGACGCUGAGACGCGAAAGCGUGGGGAGCGAACAGG